rnacentral:rRNA from 1 species
AGAACGAACGCUGGCGGCAGGCUUAACACAUGCAAGUCGAACGCGUGUAGCAAUACACGAGUGGCGCACGGGUGAGUAACGCGUGGAUAUCUGCCUUUUGGUUCGGAAUAACCCCGGGAAACUGGGGCUAAUACCGGAUGGUUCCUUCGGGAUAAAGAUUUAUCGCCAAAAGAUGAGUCCGCGUACGAUUAGCUAGUUGGUGAGGUAAUGGCUCACCAAGGCGACGAUCGUUAGCUGGUCUGAGAGGACGAUCAGCCACACUGGGACUGAGACACGGCCCAGACUCCUACGGGAGGCAGCAGUGGGGAAUAUUGGACAAUGGGGGCAACCCUGAUCCAGCCAUGCCGCGUGAGUGAUGAAGGCCUUCGGGUUGUAAGCUCUUUUGGCGGGGACGAUGAUGACGGUACCCGCAGAAUAAGCCCCGGCUAACUUCGUGCCAGCAGCCGC